AAUAUGCUGUGGCAUACGAAUUCACAGCGAGUGUUGACCGACUAUUUUCUGUAUUUUAGGGAAACAUAAGUCUUCUAACAGUGUGCAAGCCGUUCCAUGCGGAAGCGACUGAAGUUAGAGCGAGUUGCCCACCUGCUUAUUUGUGCGGGUUCAAUACAAAACGUGAAUCACGGUGCCAAUACAGCAACUAG
rnacentral:other from 1 species